GAUGAACGCUGGCGGCGUGCCUAAUACAUGCAAGUCGAGCGAACGGACGAGAAGCUUGCUUCUCUGAUGUUAGCGGCGGACGGGUGAGUAACACGUGGAUAACCUACCUAUAAGACUGGGAUAACUUCGGGAAACCGUAGCUAAUACCGGAUAAUAUUUUGAACCGCAUGGUUCAAAAGUGAAAGACGGUCUUGCUGUCACUUAUAGAUGGAUCCGCGCUGCAUUAGCUAGUUGGUAAGGUAACGGCUUACCAAGGCAACGAUGCAUAGCCGACCUGAGAGGGGGAUCGGCCACACUGGAACUGAGAGACAGUCCAGACUCCUACGGGAGACAGCGGUAGGGAAUCUACCGGAAUGGGCGAAAGCCUGACGGAGCAACGCCGCGUGAGUGAUGAAGGUCUUCGGAUCGUAAAACUCUGUUAUUAGGGAAGAACAUAUGUGUAAGUAACUGUGCACAUCUUGACGGUACCUAAUCAGAAAGCCACGGCUAACUACGUG
rnacentral:rRNA from 1 species